AAUAGACUGCUCCCACAAAUCACAAUAAAAAUGGACGCAAUAGCUAAAGCUGAUCAGCAUUCAUCAGUUUCCACGGAUUUUGCUUCUCAAUUUCAAAAUAUGUGGACAUAGUUGAGAGCUUAAAGUUGUUGACAGAUGAACUAUGCAAGAGCUUGGAACAACAUGAUUCGCAUAAAAUGAAUUAUCAAGAUUUCUCCAAGGAUGAUCUCAAGGAAGGGAGUGAAGAGGUUGCUAAAUACAAGGAUUGCUCCAUAUGUCAGAGUUAUUUUCUUUAUCCUUUUCAUCAGGUAGUAAGUGACAAUAAUUUUCCAUUUUCAUUUAAACUCAUUUAUGUUUUCAUAAAGAUCUUGUCUCUCUAUUUUGUGCUGACAUAUCUACUUUGCAUAUUUCCAACAAUCCUGUUUUUCACGAAAGAAUUGAACAUAUAAAAAUAGAUUGUCAUUUUGUAAGAGAAAAUAUCAUCAUUGGAAUUAUCUGUUAAAGAUUGAUUCAAAUAAUAAUCUGUUCAGUUUAGAUAUUUGCUAUUAGUUCUACUAUUUUAUCUGAUAGUUUGUUAAGGUCAAGUCAUGUUACUGUUAGUGCCAUAUUUAUCUACUAUUAUUGUUUAGAGUAUGGCUAUAAAUAAGCCUUCAACUCUCUGUGUUUAAUCAUCCAAAAGUGUGGUUUUCUUCAUUUUCUUUCUAUCA